UCGUCUCGCCCCCCUCGUAUAUCAACUCCUCUAUGGCUCUGCCCGACCUAGACACCCAGACGGCCAGCCGCCUCGCCGUCCCGGCAUCGCCGUUCCUCGCGGCUUCGCCGGUCGCCAGCCGGAGCCCGGAGUUCAGCCGCCCAGGAGGCUCCCGCCUUUUUCCUGCUUCCCGCCCGGCCGCCCUCCCGGCUCCCGGUCUAGCCGCGCCCCUGCUGUCCCGGCGUCCCGCCGGCCCGGCCGCCCCCUGCAAAUCCCCACCACGGUGGCAGGCAAACCCCUGACCGAUUUGAGAAUUAUUGAAGAAUGAAUAGGACCAGCGACAUUGUUUCUCUUUUCCAGAGAGAAGCUAUUAAUACAGGGAAGAAGAAGAAGGCAGGGAAUGUGCCGCAUGUUGCCGAAGAGCAAACCGGAGAACUGGUGCGUAUGCCGGUUGUGAUUGAAGAGCAAACUCAUGAACCAACAGUUUCUAUGACGAAUGUGACCAUAGAGCAAAAGCAUGGGCCAUAAACAGUCUUUUUGAAGUUCUCAAGGUAUGUACUAUGGUCCAUGUAGUAUUUACUAUGUAGGCUUCUUUAUGAAAAGCUCAGAUUUAUUGAGAAUUUUAGUGUGUUCGUAAAACCAUAUCGAUAUAUUUCUUUUUGAUAUUGAUAAUUAGUUAGAACGUUCACAUGUUAAAUUGGGACGGACCACCCUGGUCUCAAAUGCUAGCUCCGCCACUGGGUUUAAGCAUAACUCCGACAAUGAGGCAAUCUGGAAUUGGAGCAAGGCCUUAAUAUACACGUCAUCAUCUACCUAUCUAAUGUUGUGAGAAGGAGCUCUUAGAUUCAUGGAAAAGUUGGGCGCCUCUUAAUUGCAAGUUUUUUUCUAUGGUUAGCCCAUGUAAUAUCGCAUAUGGAUGUCAGAUCGGGGAUUUGAGGAGGGGGUUGGUGGAUGAAUGUUACCUAUAUAUGAUCAAGAUGAAGACACUGCUGACUAUAUUUGAUGUAGUACAUCUUCUCUAGGCAGGUAUGGCACCGAUGUCUUCAUGAGUUGCAGGUGCUGCUUCAGGUGGCCAUCUCUAUUUGGGGUGGACAACCGUGAUUCUUGUUGGACUAAGUCCAGGACCCUAUUGCCAAAAGCCAAACGUAGGGUUUUUUAUUCUCUUGUUAUGCUUGCUUGCCGGAGUUUGUGGAAACAACAUAAUGUUAGCCAACUUAGAGAUGUGAAAGAGACUAGUACGCCGAUCAUUGCUGAAUUUCAUCUUUGGGGCAUGGCUAGAGGUACCGAAGUAGCAGCGUCGUGUGAGUAGUUUUCUUUGUACUUGGAGCAGAGUGUGUGUAUUUUAUUUUCCUUUGACAACAAAUUUCUUGUAAACCAGCUUAGGGGGUGUUUGUUUC